rnacentral:rRNA from 1 species
UACAGAGGUCCCAAGCGUUGUUCGGAUUCACUGGGCGUAAAGGGUGCGCAGGUGGCAUGGUAAGUUUGGUGUGAAAGCUUCGGGCUUAACCCGGAAAUGGCAUUGAAUACUACUGUGCUGGAGGAUUGGAGGGGGGACUGGAAUUCUUGGUGUAGCAGUGAAAUGCGUAGAUAUCAAGAGGAACACCAGUGGCGAAGGCGAGUCCCUGGACAAUUCCUGACACUGAGGCACGAAAGCCAAGGGAGCAAACAGG